rnacentral:rRNA from 1 species
CCUACGGGUGGCAGCAGUGAGGAAUAUUGGUCAAUGGACGCAAGUCUGAACCAGCCAUGCCGCGUGCAGGAAGACGGCCCUAUGAGCUGUCAACUGCUUUUGUACGAGGGUAAACGCAGAUACGUGUAUCUGUCUGCAAGUAUCGUUCGAAUAAGGCUCGGCCAACUCCGCGCCAGCAGCCGCGGUAAUACGGAGGAUUCAAGCGUUAGCCGGAUUUAUUGGGUUUAAAGGGUGCGUAGGCGGUCGGAUAAGUUAGAGGUGAAAUCCCCAGGCUCAACUUCGGAAUUGCCUCUGAUACUGUUCGGCUAGGGAGUAGUUGCGGUAGGCGGAAUGUAUGGUGU